rnacentral:rRNA from 1 species
ACUCCUACGGGAGGCAGCAGUGGGGAAUAUUGCACAAUGGGCGCAAGCCUGAUGCAGCCAUGCCGCGUGUGUGAAGAAGGCCUUCGGGUUGUAAAGCACUUUCAGUUGUGAGGAAGGUGGUGUCGUUAAUAGCGGCAUCAUUUGACGUUAGCAACAGAAGAAGCACCGGCUAACUCCGUGCCAGCAGCCGCGGUAAUACGGAGGGUGCGAGCGUUAAUCGGAAUUACUGGGCGUAAAGCGCAUGCAGGUGGUUUGUUAAGUCAGAUGUGAAAGCCCGGGGCUCAACCUCGGAAACUGCAUUUGAAACUGGCAGACUAGAGUACUGUAGAGGGGGGUAGAAUUUCAGGUGUAGCGGUGAAAUGCGUAGAGAUCUGAAAGGAAUACCGGUAGGCGAAAGGCGACCCCCUGGACAGAUACUGACACUCAG